GAUGAAGAACGCAGCGAAAUGCGAUAAGUAAUGUGAAUUGCAGAAUUCAGUGAAUCAUCGAAUCUUUGAACGCACAUUGCGCCCCUUGGUAUUCCGAGGGGCAUGCCUGUUCGAGCGUCAUUAUAACCCCUCAAGCUCAGCUUGGUGUUGGGGCCUGCUGCACUGGCAGCCCUUAAAAUCAGUGGCGGCGCCAUCUGGCUCUAAGCGUAGUAAUUCUUCUCGCUAUGGAGUCCUGGUUGAUGCUUGCCAUCAACCCCCAAUUUUUCUAUGGUUGACCUCGGAUCAGGUAGGGAUACCCGCUGAACUUAAGCAUAUCAAUAAGCGGAGGA
rnacentral:misc_RNA from 1 species